AUUGAACGCUGGCGGCAGGCCUAACACAUGCAAGUCGAGCGGAUGAAGGGAGCUCGCUCCUGGAUUCAGCGGCGGACGGGUGAGUAAUGCCUAGGAAUCUGCCUGGUAGUGGGGGAUAACGUCCGGAAACGGGCGCUAAUACCGCAUACGUCAUGAGGGAGAAAGUGGGGGAUCUUCGGACCUCACGCUAUCAGCUGAGCCUAGGUCGGAUUAGCUAGUUGGUGGGGUAAAGGCCUACCAAGGCGACGAUCCGUAACUGGUCUGAGAGGAUGAUCAGUCACACUGGAACUGAGACACGGUCCAGACUCCUACGGGAGGCAGCAGUGGGGAAUAUUGGACAAUGGGCGAAAGCCUGAUCCAGCCAUGCCGCGUGUGUGAAGAAGGUCUUCGGAUUGUAAAGCACUUUAAGUUGGGAGGAAGGGCAGUAAGUUAAUACCUUGCUGUUUUGACGUUACCAACAGAAUAAGCACCGGCUAACUUCGUG
rnacentral:rRNA from 1 species